UUUUUGUUUGUUUUUAUUUCUUGCUAAAAAAAAAUAGGUUUGUAUGGGGGGUGCUGAUUUGAUAGAAUUUAUUUCCCUUCAAUUCUUAUUUGAGUUGAAACCAACAAGUUUUUAAAACUAAAGAAUGGGUUAAUAAGCUUCAGACAGAUAACUACAACCGAAAACCGCACAUUCAAUGAAAAAAAAAGAGAAAAAAAAAAGAAAAAGAAAAAGAAAAAAGAGCCUAUUUUGUCUUCGUUGCCAGAAAUCAGUGUGGUGUCAAACACUCCAAAUGACUGUCCAGUGUAGACUCUUCCCCCACUUCGUUUUUGGCAGCUGUUUGUUAAGGCAUCUAAUCCCAGAUGUGAAAACUGUAAUGUGUGCAACGUGUAGUGUCCUUGGCUGUGGGUCCCAUUGCAGUUUCUGUGUGUUUCUAUAUGCAGUGUAUGCUAAGCUACUGUAGUCGUUUUUUGUCCCCGUCUUCUCCGUGCUCUGUCUCUAGUGGAGUGGCACAGUUCCAUUCCUGCGGUCCUAGUGAAUCGGUGACUCUUGGGGGUUAGUGGGUUUGUGUGGUGGCCUUUCCCUGUGACGUCACCCAUAUGCUUCUAUUGUCUGUGGAUCCUGUCUUACUUUUCGAAAUCCCUGCCGUUGCUUUGCUGUUGUAUACUCUCCCUGCCUCCCCUGUCUUUCCCUGUCUGCCCUUUCUCUCCUCUGCUUCCCCCUUCCCUGAUACCCCAAAUCUGUAUCAUUCUCAGAGAUAAAAAGAAAAAAGAAAAAAAAAGAAAAAGAAAAAAGACUCUUAACUAGCUCAAGGUUAAUGGAGCCAUCUUUCCCACAACGGAAUUCUGGAUGUGACUUUCUCUGUGGAGUACUACACAGAGCCCUGAAGAAUAAUGCUCAGAUAUAUUGAAUAAAUUGACGCCAUGCAACCUCAGCUGUUAACAUUCCCAGAGUCCCUUGUGUUCUACCUAUAAGCAGUGGGUGCUUUUCUUUGCUUUCCUUUCAGGUUGGCUGAUGGAGCAGUAUAUAAAGCAAUUACCAGUUAGACAGAAAAUGAUUUCAAAGGCCAACCAACAUUUUUUUAAAAACAAAAUGGGAGGGGUUAAUGGAAUAUAGAAUUGUCAUAUAUAUUUGUUUAUUCGUGCAAUGCUAAUAUAGUAACUUGGCUGUCCUUUGAAUUGUCACUGUGCUGAGUGGAUUUCCUCUAGAACUCUGGAUUCCAUGAGUUGGGCCCAGGCCGUGGUAGAAUAAUAACAGAAAGAAGAUAAAUGCCACAGAUCUUAGCACUGGGCUUCCUUGAAGGACUUAAGUCAGUUUAGAAGAUGAAGGAAGCCGAUGGAGAAAUGUAAAGAUUAGCUUUGGAAGCCGUCCUCUAGCUAUCGAACAAUCAAGGGAAUGCACCUCUCAGCUACAAAGAACAGCCAGACAGCUGGGUUUUUUUUUUCUUUUUCUUUUAUAAAUGUUUCUGUGUUGUGUCAAAAUGAUUUCUGGUGAUUUAAACUAACAGAUAAUCACAGCUGCUGUCUAAAUCCAUAGUGUUUAAAAAUUACAAAAUGAAAAAAAAAAACCACUUCAUUACCUG
rnacentral:lncRNA from 1 species